AAAUCCCUGCAGUGCUCGAUACUGCCAACUCGGUUCCCAUCCUUAAUGACAAUAUUCAGGGAGCUUACCGCAUUCGGUGGCUGUCAAGCCGUCUCGAAUGGAAGGCAAAAGUCGAAUCGGACGCACCCACCUCGUUAAACGGAGGUUGUGUAACCAAACAGGUAAGGCGACACAGGUGGGGCUUUC
rnacentral:other from 1 species